rnacentral:lncRNA from 1 species
AUAUCGUUUGUUGCUAAUUUUAUCACAAAAUAUACCUCAGAGGUUUUUUAUCGUUCGGCUGCUGUCCUGUUGACAUAUGUAAAAUAUCUCCAAUAUUAAAAGUCUCUGGAUCAUAGUGGGUGCCAUAUUACCUAUUAUUUUUUUUUCUAAAACGUGCUUUGUAUAUAGAAAUAAGAAGAUGACGUAUGAGUGCCAAAUGAGACAUCCCGCAAAGUGGAAAGGGAUUAAUAUAAGUUGGAAAACUUGUUUCCCAAUCCACUAUAAAUAAAUAUGUUUAAACUAAACUAAAUGAGACAUCUUUCCAACAAAGACAUAAUUUAGUAAAGUAAGCAGUCAUAGGUCCAAUGCUGAAAAGUAAGCUAUUAAUGACCCAAAAAUUACUUGUGUAAAACAAUCCAAACAAAAAAAAAAACAAAAAAAAAACCGGCUCAAUUAAAUAUAUAAAAGGACAAGAAAUCUAUCUCAUCAAAAAAAAAUAUAUUGUAUAGGAGCCUGUAUUUCAGUGGUUGUCGUUUGUUUAUGUGUUACAUAUUUUUUUUUCGUUCAUUUUUUUUAUAUAAUUAGGGACGUUAGUUUUCUCGUUUGAAUUGUUUUACAUUGUCAUUUCGGGGACUUUUAUAGCUUACUAUGCGGUAUGGGCUUUGCUCAUUGUUGAAGACCGUACGGUGAUCUAUAAAUGUUUAUUUCUGUGUCAUUUUGGUCUCUUGUGGACAGCUGUCUCAUUGGCAAUCAUACCACAUCUUCUUUUUUAUUAUAGAUCCAACGCUGCAAUUUUCACAAAACAUAUCAAAUUUUCCAUCUUGUCGCACAUACAUAUGGAUAAAAUCAUUACAGCUUAUUUCCUAAUGCAUGUGGAGCAAAACUUUGGUUAGCUUGCUUGCUUUGUUUGUAUAUUGUACAAAAUAUAAAAUAUACAAG